UCCUACUGUAGCAGGAAACUUAACUGGAC
rnacentral:piRNA from 1 species